rnacentral:misc_RNA from 1 species
GAUCGGCCAGACCGGAACACAAGCGACUUGCCAUCUGGCGAGCAUGAGGGGAAGGCGUUAUUGCCUGUGUCCUCUCUCGUCAGGAUCUUUACGUCGCAUUUGAUCUCUUCGCGAUCACUGUUAAGAUCUGAACGAUCAAACGUCACACGUGCAAUCUGCACCGUUUUUUUUACCGACUCAAAGAUUGGGCCCAGAGAUGUGAAGAUGGCGUUCUCAGUGGGACUCCACGAGUUGUAGAAGGCCAUUCGGUUCUUGAUUAAGGUCCAUCGUUUUGAACCGUCCGAUUUGACGAUUUUUACACCCCCAUUCUCAUCAAAGUCGGGAUUGAAGGUUAUG